rnacentral:rRNA from 1 species
AUUGAACGCUGGCGGCAGGCUUAACACAUGCAAGUCGAGCGGAGAGAGGUAGCUUGCUACUGAUCUUAGCGGCGGACGGGUGAGUAAUGCUUAGGAAUCUGCCUAUUAGUGGGGGACAACAUUUCGAAAGGAAUGCUAAUACCGCAUACGCCCUACGGGAGAAAGUGGGGGAUCUUCGGACCUCACGCUAUCAGAUGAGCCUAGGUCGGAUUAGCUAGUUGGUGAGGUAAAGGCUCACCAAGGCGACGAUCCGUAACUGGUCUGAGAGGAUGAUCAGUCACACUGGAACUGAGACACGGUCCAGACUCCUACGGGAGGCAGCAGUGGGGAAUAUUGGACAAUGGGCGAAAGCCUGAUUCAGCCAUGCCGCGUGUGUGAAGAAGGUCUUCGGAUUGUAAAGCACUUUAAGUUGGGAGGAAGGGCAGUAAGUUAAUACCUUGCUGUUUUGACGUUACCAACAGAAUAAGCACCGGCUAACUUCGUGCCAGCAGCCGCCGUAAAAC